rnacentral:rRNA from 1 species
GACGAACGCUGGCGGCGUGCUUAACACAUGCAAGUCGAACGGAAAGGCCUGCUUUCCCUUGUGGAUUGCGGGUACUCGAGUGGCGAACGGGUGAGUAACACGUGAGUGAUCUGCCCCCAACUUGGGUAUAAGCCUGGGAAACUGGGUCUAAUUCCCGAUAGGACUGCAGGGUGGUGCCUGUGGUGGAAAACGAUUUUCUAGUGGUUGGGGAUGAGCUCGCGGCCUAUCAGCUUGUUGGUGGGUAAUGGCCUACCAAGGCGGCGACGGGUAGCCGGCCUGAGAGGGUGGACGGCCACAUUGGGACUGAGAUACGGCCCAGACUCCUACGGGAGGCAGCAGUGGGGAAUAUUGCACAAUGGGCGGAAGCCUGAUGCAGCGACGCCGCGUGGGGGAUGACGGCCUUCGGGUUGUAAACUCCUUUCGACCGCGAGGAAGCCACCUGGUUGGAAGGGUGGUGACGGUAGUGGUAGAAGAAGCACCGGCUAACUACGUG